CAAAACAAUGUAGCGAACUAAGUGCUCUGCCUAAAUGUAAUGUAUGCAUGGAGAUAAUAUUUUAACGGAGUGGCUGUGGUCAUGGAGGGGAGCUGCUGCGAGCACAGACCGGUGUCCUGACGAUCUAUGCUAUACGCAGUCUGCGUGCGCCCUUAAAAUACUGGGUGUGCUAAGGUGGACUUUGGUGAGUAUUUGCAGUGCUCUGUCUUGUUCUGUGUGCGUUGGGGAUAUAGAGGCUUUGGGAGUUAACUGUAGUGUGAUAAAUAUUUGCCGGAUCAAGCAAUACCCAUACAGGCCAUGUGAGAAGGAAGAUAGGACUUGGACUUUAUCUAUUCAUCCUGUGUGUGCUUGAUUGAUAUGAAAUGACAUUUAAAAAAUAAAAAAAUGAGGCAAUAAAAAUAUAAAUAAAUGUAUAAAUGGGGACUUUUAUUUCCAUGGGCGUAACCACACAUUCUUUGGGGCGGGGGUCAUGUCCCCUCUGCCUGUGCAUCUCAUGCUCCAUUUUACCAUUGCUCAUAAACAAGAUCCCGAGAUACUUAAAGGUCCAGUGUGUAAUAUUUAGGAGGAUCUAUUGACAGAAAUGCAAUAUAAUAUCCAUAACUAUGUUUUCAGUGGUGUAUAAAGACCUAACAUAACGAACUGAUGACUGGAAAUUAACACCUGCCAAGCGCCAAAUGCGGGUAGAUUUUCCGUUUGGCUAAAUGACAGAAGGCCACCCGCCACAUUAGCGGGUAAACGUAUUCAUUGCGAUAUCGCCAUAUAAUAACUUUUUGACGGUAGCUAACAGCGGAUCAGUGUUGUUUUUUGUUGUGUGUCACACUUAAAUUGGCCCCCACUGUACAAAGGGAUUAUGUUGUUUGUUCAGUUCAGGUUUCUUGUGUUUGAUUGGUGUAGAUAUGUAAGGGGGUGGGCAUUAGGGGAUUGAAGUUGGGAGCCGUCAGGUCAUGCUACGAGUUCCCCGAGUGUUUUUAGCAUUUAGCUAGCUAGCAACCAGCGUAACAUGCAUACCAGUCAACCAUCCCGUUUUCCUCGGACUACUCCCGUAUUUUACCGUUAUCUCCCACGUCCUCCCGUUAAAAUAUGUCCCCGUAAAUCUCCUUUAUUUAUACCCACUACGUUCCCCUCCAUUAAAGCCGGUGGCAGUAUGUAGAACAGCUCGGUGAAGUCGACAGGAAGGAGAAAAGCAGCGCGACGGGUUCGGGACAGAAGAUGCGUUUCGUUUCUAAACAGAGUAUUUCACAUGCAUUUGCCCCUAAAUGUUACACUGCUGCAAGCAGGGAGGUGACAGUUGGUGUGUUGUGUGUUUAUUUUGUCCCUUUUUGAGCGUGUGAGAGGUGCUUGGUGGGUUUUGGUUUUGUCUAUCUGUGUAUGGCCUGUCUCUCUCUCUCUCCCCCGCUUGUCCUUUCCUCCCUCUCCCUCAGGGCGGAGUUGUGGGCUGCACCACUGGGCGUUUCUCCCCAGCUGCAGAACGCCACUUCUCUGUCAGCCCUGCUUACAGGUGUCGUGCCAAGGCGACACCGGCCUUGCCAGGCCUCGCACUUACCUGCCACACCGGAGGAACCUUACCCCCAGCAUCAAGCUUACCUCACUAUAUCUUGUGUUAAUAAACUGUUAAAAUCCUC